rnacentral:rRNA from 1 species
GACGUAGGGCGCGAGCGUUGUCCGGAUUUAUUGGGCGUAAAGAGCUCGUAGGCGGUCUGUCACGUCGGAUGUGAAAGCCCGGGGCUUAACCCCGGGUCUGCAUUCGAUACGGGCAGACUAGAGUGUGGUAGGGGAGAUCGGAAUUCCUGGUGUAGCGGUGAAAUGCGCAGAUAUCAGGAGGAACACCGGUGGCGAAGGCGGAUCUCUGGGCCAUUACUGACGUUGAGGAGCGAAAGCGUGGGGAGCGAACAGG